UAGGGAAUCUUCGGCAAUGGACGAAAGUCUGACCGAGCAACGCCGCGUGAGUGAAGAAGGUUUUCGGAUCGUAAAACUCUGUUGUUAGAGAAGAACAAGGACGUUAGUAACUGAACGUCCCCUGACGGUAUCUAACCAGAAAGCCACGGCUAACUACGUGCCAGCAGCCGCGGUAAUACGUAGGUGGCAAGCGUUGUCCGGAUUUAUUGGGCGUAAAGCGAGCGCAGGCGGUUUCUUAAGUCUGAUGUGAAAGCCCCCGGCUCAACCGGGGAGGGUCAUUGGAAACUGGGAGACUUGAGUACAGAAGAGGAGAGUGGAAUUCCAUGUGUAGCGGUGAAAUGCGUAGAUAUAUGGAGGAACACCAGUGGCGAAUGCGGCUCUCUGGUCUGUAACAGACGCUGAGGCUCGAAAGCGUGGGGAGCAAACAGG
rnacentral:rRNA from 1 species